rnacentral:rRNA from 1 species
UACGUAGGUGGCAAGCGUUGUCCGGAUUUAUUGGGUUUAAAGGGUGCGUAGGCGGCCUUGUAAGUCAGUGCUGAAAUAUCCCGGCUUAACCGGGAGGGUGGCAUUGAUACUGCAGGGCUUGAGUAAAGUUGAGGUUGGCGGAAUUGACGGUGUAGCGGUGAAAUGCUUAGAUAUCGUCAGGAACACCGAUAGUGAAGACAGCUAACUAAGCUUUAACUGACGCUGAGGCACGAAAGUGUGGGGAUCAAACAGG